CAUUAAGAAGCUAUGUACCAGCACUAGCCUUUUAAGCUAGACAAAGAGGAAGUUCUCCUCCUUAAUGG
rnacentral:tRNA from 1 species